CUUCUGCAGCCUUCACUGUGGCCAUCAGCAGCGGAUGUCUGCUGUGCAGAGGGACAUGGGUGCCAACAGCAAGCACCUGGGCAUGGAAAGCUGGUUUCUGUUACUGUAAAUGAAUACCUUUAGUUCAUAAAUGCAAGAAAACUGAUACCCAACCUGACCCAACCCAGGAGAAGUUUAUGAAAGAAGAUAAAGGAUGGGGUACUGGGAGACAAAAGACUCAUCGCCUUGCAGGAAAGAGAUGAAUACAGAAAAAGAAGAAGAGAUGGAUUGAAGCUCGUUUUGAAGGCAGAAGGAGCCAUCCCCAGGUCGGCUUCCAGUACUUCCUAUGACAUUUAUUGAAGUCAACAGAGAUGUCACUUUUGACCAUCAGCCUGAAUGUGUCCUCCCAACUGGAAGGGCUUUUUUCACCUUGAUGAUCCUUGAGGUUCCUUCCAACCCAAGCCAGUCCGUGAUUCUAUGAUUCACCGACUGCAUCACAUCCCACAAAGUAUCUCAAUGCAGAGCUGAAGCAACUCCCCUUCAUC